rnacentral:rRNA from 1 species
CCUACGGGAGGCUGCAGUGGGGAAUAUUGGACAAUGGGGGGAACCCUGAACCAGCGACGCCGCGUGAGUGAAGAAGUAUUUCGGUAUGUAAAGCUCUAUCAGCAGGGAAGAAAAUGACGGUACCUGACUAAGAAGCCACGGCUAACUACGUACCAGCAGCCGCGGGAACACGUAGGGGGCAAGCGUUAUCCGGAUUUACUGGGUGUAAAGGGCGCGUAGACGGUGCAGCAAGUCUGAUGUGAAAGGUCGGGGGCCAACCCCGGGACUGCAGUGGAAACUGGUGAACUGGAGUGCAGGAGAGGUAAGCGGAAUGCGUGGUGUAGCGGUGAAAUGCGUAGAUAUUACGAAGAACACCAGUGGCGAAGGCGGCUUACUGGAGUGUAACUGACGUUGAGGCUCGAAAGCGUGGGGAGCGAACAGGAUUAGAUACCCCUGUAGUC